AUUAAAAACCAGAGAUUUAAAACGGUCAGACAAUUUAUAACAAUCAGAGAUGUAUUAAUUUAGAGAAAUGAAACGAAGUAUUUCGAAUAAAGAUGCAUUUUUUGUAGGCAGUAACAGGUCUACGAUGCUUUUAAACGUCCAGGGCUGUACGCGUGCUACACUGCAGAAAUCAACGUGAUGAAACCAUUACCGAAAGAUAUUGGUAACCCCUUGGAAAUCCUCCGUGAUCAGGAAUUGCAAUUAUUUUCCCAACUAAAAAAUCUGAUUAAAAAAUAAAAUUUGAUUUUUUACUUUCCAUU
rnacentral:ncRNA from 1 species